rnacentral:rRNA from 1 species
CCUACGGUGAGCUGCAGUGAGGAAUAUUGGUCAAUGGGCGUAAGCCUGAACCAGCCAAGUCGCGUGAGGGAUGAAGGUUCUAUGGAUCGUAAACCUCUUUUAUAAGGGAAUAAAGUGCGGGACGUGUCCCGUUUUGUAUUUACCUUAUGAAUAAGGAUCGGCUAACUCCGUGCCAGCAGCCGCGGUAAUACGGAGGAUCCGAGCGUUAUCCGUCUUUAUUUGGUUUAAAGGGGGCGUAGGGGGCCUUUUAAGUUAGCGGUGAGAGUCUGUGGCUCAGCCAUAGCAUGGCCGUGGAAACUGGGAGGCUUGAGUAUGUUGGGGGCAGGGGGAAGGUGUG